rnacentral:rRNA from 1 species
UGGGGAAUAUUGCACAAUGGGGGAAACCCUGAUGCAGCAACGCCGCGUGAGUGAUGACGGCCUUCGGGUUGUAAAGCUCUGUCUUCAGGGACGAUAAUGACGGUACCUGAGGAGGAAGCCACGGCUAACUACGUGCCAGCAGCCGCGGUAAUACGUAGGUGGCAAGCGUUGUCCGGAUUUACUGGGCGUAAAGGGAGCGUAGGCGGACUUUUAAGUGAGAUGUGAAAUACCCGGGCUCAACCUGGGUGCUGCAUUUCAAACUGGAAGUCUAGAGUGCAGGAGAGGAGAGUGGAAUUCCUAGUAUAGCGGUGAAAUGCGUAGAGAUUAGGAAGAACACCAGUGGCGAAGGCGACUCUCUGGACUGUAACUGACGCUGAGGCUCGAAAGCGUGGGGAGCAAACA